rnacentral:sRNA from 1 species
UGCCUAAAGGGGAAGUAUUACCCUUUAGGCACAAAUGUCACAAGCG